rnacentral:lncRNA from 1 species
ACUUGCUGAGUAAAGGGGCCUUUGGGCCCUGAAUAAUCAGCAGUGGUCGCCAGGUAGUACAUGUCGUGGGCCUUGGGUGAACCUCUGAGACUUACUGGCUUCAGGAAAGAAUGGAAACGGCCUCUCACAGCAGAGAACUGGUCACUGCGCACUGCUCCACAGCUAAGAAAGUUUUCCAGGUGGUCUAGCGCUCCUAACAAACACCUUAUGAUUAUCCUUCAUUCAACAGAGGAGGAGACUGCAGGCAUGCUUCAGUCAGUGUGGUACAGAUCUGACUGAAGACAAAAGUAUAAAUUCAAGAUUACUUCCAUUUCUGCAUAGACAAGUUAUAUCACAUACUAACAAAAAAAAGAAUUCAACAAAAUGAGGAGAGAAACUAUCAUGGCACCAUCCUCAAGCAUGAACAAUUUCUAAGAGUCUGGAGAAAAGCAGGAGGGAAGGCAAACCACAAAGAAGAAACCUCAAAAUAGGUGACUGCCUUCCUUUCAUCACGAAGGGCCAUUCAAAUUUUCUGCCCAUGCCUCCAGGGACUCCCCUAUGGCUGCUGCAGCUGAUAAAGAUGCAUCCAAGAAAACUUCCAAGGAAUGGUCAAUGUGUGGCACAGCUAACUCAGUGAAGGCCAAACUGCUGAAGAAUCUAUUUGUCUUAACUAGCUGAAUUCACCAAUCUGUUUCCCAAAAACUUGUUUUGUGAAAUAUUUUCCUGUAAUAUCUUCAGUGAAUAAAAGAUCUUAUUCUUAUAAAUAUAUAACUUCAGCAUUUCUCAGGGAUUUUUUUUAAAUGCACCCAGCAUUUUUAGGAUUAGCCUGCCAAUUUUAUUGGUCAAUUUUCUGAAUUUGCCAAAUUUAGUGAUUACCAAAAUCCUAUUUGACAAUUUUAAAGAUGUAAGCACUCUUACUGGAUUGGGUAGAGUUUUAGUAAGUUUUGCAUAUUUCUGAGCCUAACGACGAGUUUUUAUUUUGUCCUAACAGCCUUAAUGUUUUAUUCAUAAUUUUUUUCUUAAUAAAACACCUUUUUUUUCAGAUCUGAGCUAUUCAAAACAGCAAUCACUAACCAUAUGUAACUAUUUAAAUUUAGAUCAAUUAAAAUUAAAAUUCAGUUUCUCAAUCAUGCUAGCCACAUUUCAAGUACUCAGUAACCACAUGUGGCUGGUGACUACUAUGUUGGACUAUGCAGAUACAGAUUUCCAUCAUCACAGAAAGUUCUAUGGGACAGUACUGGACAAGACAGUAAUUCCAUUCAAUGUUUUAAAAUUAAAAGGGUACAUGAUAAAAAUUCUUCCAUCCUAACUCCCAGCCAUGUACUUCCCUUCCUUGGAGCCAACUGAUGCUUAUAUAGCACUUUAAGAAACAUUCCGUUUAUCUCUGUCCUACUUCCCUGUUCAUGGGGACCCACUGCUGGAAGAAAAAUAGAACACACAGAGACUGAGGGGCAUAAUGGAAGGGAGACUAAGGGGCGGAGAGGGGGAGAAUUAGUUAAGGAAGAAGCAAACUCGUGGGGAAGGGCAAGACGAGAAUGGGAGGGUCCAAGAAACCCAGACACCUGGCUUCCCACAGCACUCUACACUCUGACAAGUCAACCAGUCAAGCUGCUAUCAACCUUACCAAUACUUAAAACAUACUUGUGAUAAAUCAUUAAUUUUAAUAAUUUGAAGAACAAAACACUCAGAAAAUUGAUCACUCAAUGAACUGGUUUUCUGUGAAUAACAGAGCCCCUAAUUGACCAGAAAUCUUAUUGAUUAAGACAGGGUCUCACUUUGUUACCCAGGAUGGAGUGCAGUGGUGUGUGAUCUCAGCUCACUACAACCUCCACCUCCUGGGCUCAAGCAAUCCUCCUGCCUCAGCCCUGCAAGUAGCUGGGAUUACAAGCAUACACCAUCACACCUGGAUAAUUGUUUUGUAUCUUUUGUAGAGACGGGGUUUCACCAUGUUGCCAAGCUGGUCUCAAACCCCUGAGCUCAGGAGAUCCCCCACCUAGUGCUAGGAUUACAGGUGUGAGCCACUAUGCCUGGCUAAAAUCUUUUAUUUUAAAUCACUAUCUUAGAUUCCUAUAUUUUAGUUUAUGGAAUUUGGACUCAGCAUCACUAUAGGAAAUGCUAUACACAGUGGUUUAAAUGACAGAGGCAAAUAAUUUGCCUCUGAUUUCCCUAACAAAGUCACAUCAAUAAUUUCAAUGCCAUAAGGGUCUUUUGUUAUGAAAAAGCUUAUAACUAGGACUCAAAAGGUCUCUACAGUUCAUUCUUCUACUUCCUCAUUUAAGUAUAUAAUUUUUAAAUCCAUAGAGAAAACAAAUGACUGUUCAUAAGGGCUGACCACAAUUACCAUUCAGGUAAGUGGGUGAGUGGGAAAAAGAACAAGUAUGGUAGGUUCCACUGCCCUGGGCAUGAGGAAAAACUGAGAAGCAAUUUUAUACUUUAUCUCGGGAAAUUGAGCCGUAUGGACUCUCUCUGUUUUCACUUUUCUAAGCGAAAUAUAAUUCAUUUCUUCUCUUCUCAUUGAUUGUGUUUGCCAAAUCUUUAUUUUUUUUGAGACAGAGUUUCGCUCUUGUUGCCCAGGCUGGAGUGCAAUGGCACAAUCUUGGCUUACUGCAACCUCUGCCUCUCGGGUUCAAGCAAUUCUCUUACCUCAACCUCCCGAGCAGCUGGGAUUACAGACAUGCGCCACCACGCCCGGCUAAUCUUUUGUAUUUUUAGUAGAGAUGGGGUUUCUCCAUGUUGGUCAGGCUGGUCAUGAACUCCUGACUUCAGGUGAUCUGCCCGCCUCGGCCUCCCAAAGUGCUGGGAUUACAGGUGUGAGCCACCGUGCCCGGCCAUGUUUGCCAAAUCUUUAAUUACAUCAGACGCUCAACUCUGAAUACUCUUCAAACUGCUCAUUCCCUCACUAAUUACCUCACUAAAUAGCCAAACAGACUGAAAUGCUCAUAUAAAAGGUCCCACUUUUAUAAGGAAGAGGUCACUUGCCAAUCUCCCAAACUGCUAAUUCUUCUUGAACCAUGUCUGCUAUUACAUUACUAAUUGUAUUAGCUUAAAAAUAACCAUGCAAUGCAGAACCUCUGUCUUGCUUUGUAAGAGCAAUCUUCCUUCAUCUUGUAUUUGCUAUUUCUGUAGUUUAUUCUCUCACAAAAGUAUCCUGAAUUUGUUGCUUCAAAUCAUCAUUCUGUUCAUUUCUAAGUGCUAAGUAAAGAAAAUGCUUUUAAAGGGCUAUUUUAUAUUUUAAGUACAUAUUUGGAGAAUAUUAUAGAGUAAGCUUAUAUAUUAAAUUCCUCAAGCCAUCCAUCACAAUGUUUAUUAUGUGUAAAAACCUAAUGACAAAUACUGUAAAGUACCAACUUUCACUUGAAUAUAUGUAAUUUAUCAAAGUACCUAUGUUGUUUCAUUGCUAUGAAAUGAAAAUUAUAAGGUUUUAUCUUAAAAGUAGUUCACGGUAGUUUAGUGAACUUUGACUAUUACCCAACCAGAAAGAAAAU